rnacentral:rRNA from 1 species
AUUGAACGCUGGCGGCAUGCCUUACACAUGCAAGUCGAACGGCAGCACGGGAGCAAUCCUGGUGGCGAGUGGCGAACGGGUGAGUAAUAUAUCGGAACGUGCCCAGUCGUGGGGAUAACGUAGCGAAAGCUACGCUAAUACCGCAUACUAUCUAUGGAUGAAAGCGGGGGAUCGCAAGACCUCGCGCGAUUGGAGCGGCCGAUAUCAGAUUAGGUAGUUGGUGAGGUAAAGGCUCACCAAGCCGACGAUCUGUAGCUGGUCUGAGAGGACGACCAGCCACACUGGGACUGAGACACGGCCCAGACUCCUACGGGAGGCAGCAGUGGGGAAUUUUGGACAAUGGGCGCAAGCCUGAUCCAGCAAUGCCGCGUGCAGGAUGAAGGCCUUCGGGUU